GGUGUCGGGGGAAUCGACCCCUUCGGUGUCGUAGCUAACGCGUUAAGUGUUCCGCCUGGGGAGUACGCACGCAAGUGUGAAACUCAAAGGAAUUGACGGGGGCCCGCACAAGCGGUGGAGUAUGUGGUUUAAUUCGAUGCAACGCGAAGAACCUUACCAGGGUUUGACAUCCUGCGAACCUCUUAGAAAUUUGAGGGUGCCUUCGGGAAUGCAGUGACAGGUGGUGCAUGGCUGUCGUCAGCUCGUGUCGUGAGAUGUUGGGUUAAGUCCCGCAACGAGCGCAACCCACGUUUUUAGUUGCCAGCAUUUAGUUGGGCACUCUAGAAAGACCGCCGGUGAUAAACCGGAGGAAGGUGUGGAUGACGUCAAGUCAUCAUGCCCCUUACACCCUGGGCUACACACGUACUACAAUGCUACGGACAAAGGGCAGCAAACUCGCGAGAGCUAGCAAAUCCCAUAAACCGUGGCUCAGUUCAGAUCGUAGGCUGCAACUCGCCUACGUGAAGUAGGAAUCGCUAGUAAUCGCAGGUCAGCAUACUGCGGUGAAUACGUUCCCGGGCCUUGUACACACCGCCCGUCACACCAUGGAAGUUGGCCAUGCCCGAAGUCGUUACUCCAACCCUUGUGGAGGAGGACGCCGAAGGUGGGGCUAAUGACUGGGGUGAAGUCGUAACAAGGUAGCCGUA
rnacentral:rRNA from 1 species